rnacentral:rRNA from 1 species
UUGCCAGACUCCUACGGGAGGCAGCAGUGAGGAAUAUUGGUCAAUGGCCGGAAGGCUGAACCAGCCAAGCCGCGUGAAGGACGAAGGUGCCAAGCAUUGUAAACUUCUUUUGUCAAGGGACAAAAUCAGGCUCGAGAGCCUGACCGAGGGUACUUGAAGAAAAAGCAUCGGCUAACUCCGUGCCAGCAGCCGCGGUAAUACGGAGGAUGCGAGCGUUAUCCGGAUUUAUUGGGUUUAAAGGGUGCGUAGGGGGGCUGUUAAGCGGGGGGAAAAAGCCGGGGGCCCACCCCCGGCGAGCCGUUGAAACUGGCGUUCUUGAGUGAGCGAGAAGUAUGCGGAAUGCGUGGUGUAGCGGCGAAAUGCAUAGAUGUCACGCAGAACUCCGAUUGCGAAGGCAGCAUACCGGCGCUCAACUGACGCUCAUGCACGAAAGCGUGGGUAUCGAACAGGAUUAGAUACCCGAGUAG